AAACAAACAAUAUAGUAAAGAGCUCUGUAAUUUGCUUGAAUAACAUGAUUAUUACAAAUGAAAUGGACAAACAGUUCCCGUCCCUUUAGUUCAUAAAGUUUUAACUUAUUUAGCAGCAGAUGCUAGACUCAGGAGUCAGGAUAAAGACACAUUCAAUAAUAUCAUCAUGCACAGUGCAGAGCAUAUGCUAACACAAUGUGUUGAUGCAGUAAGUUCUCAUGUAGUUUGGCAAAAU
rnacentral:misc_RNA from 1 species